rnacentral:rRNA from 1 species
UCUUUUCUGUAACUUUGGCGGGCCGGGCUCGACCUGCCGGCUCCGGCUGGCGAGUGCCCGUCAGAGAAGCCCCAACUCGUCAUGUGAGUGUUGUCUGAGGAAAUGUGGAAUUAGUAAAACUUUCAACAACGGAUCUCUUGGCUCUGGCAUCGAUGAAGAACGCAGCGAAAUGCGAUAAGUAAUGUGAAUUGCAGAAUUUAGUGAAUCAUCGAAUCUUUGAACGCACAUUGCGCCCCCCGGCAUUCCGAGGGGCAUGCCUGCUCGAGCGUCAGAACACCCCUCAAGCCUGGCUUGGUCUUGGGGCUCGCCGGCUCGGCGGCCCCUAAACGCAGUGGCGGUGCUGUUGUGCUCUCCGCGUAGUCAUGUAUCUCGCGACAGAGCGGCGACGGCACCCGCCAGAACCCCAGUCUUUGGAUGACCCUCGGCCCCCCCC